rnacentral:rRNA from 1 species
AACGAACGCUGGCGGCAUGCCUAACACAUGCAAGUCGAACGAGACCUUCGGGUCUAGUGGCGCACGGGUGCGUAACGCGUGGGAACCUGCCCUUAGGUUCGGAAUAACUCCCCGAAAGGGGUGCUAAUACCGGAUAAUGUCUUCGGACCAAAGAUUUAUCGCCUUUGGAUGGGCCCGCGUUGGAUUAGCUAGUUGGUAGGGUAAAAGCCUACCAAGGCGACGAUCCAUAGCUGGUCUGAGAGGAUGAUCAGCCACACUGGGACUGAGACACGGCCCAGACGGAGGCAGGAGGCAGGAGGGGGGAGUAUGGGAAACUGGGAGAAAGCGUGGUACAUAAAUGUAGUGUGAGUGAUGAAGAACGCAGGGGGGGAAAGGUCUAGUCCCUGGGAUGAUAAGGCGAGCAGCGGGAGAAUACGGCACGAGGCAACCCGAG